rnacentral:rRNA from 1 species
GGAGCCGUAGCGAAAGCGAGUUUUAACUGAGCGUUCAGUUACUUGACGUAGACCCGAAACCGGGCGACCUACCCAUGAGCAGGAUGAAGCGAAAGUAAAAUUUCGUGGAGGUCCGAACCCACGAGCGUUGAAAAGCUCGGGGAUGACUUGUGGGUAGCGGUGAAAUUCCAAUCGAGCCCGGAGAUAGCUGGUUCUCCCCGAAAUAGCUUUAGGGCUAGCCUCAAGGUGAGAGAUACGGAGGUAGAGCACUGAAUGUCCUAGGGGGUAUUGCACCUACCGAAGACUAUCAAACUCCGAAUGCCGUCAUCUUAUACUUGGGAGUCAGACUGUGGGUGAUAAGAUUCAUAGUCGAAAGGGCAACAGCCCAGAUCGUCAGCUAAGGUCCCUAAAUGUAAGUUAAGUGGUAAAGGAUGUGGGAUUGCACAGACAACCAGGAUGUUGGCUUAGAAGCAGCCACUCAUUCAAAGAGUGCGUAAUAGCUCACUGGUCGAGUGAUCCUGCGCCGAAGAUUUCCGGGGCUAAAACUUACUACCGAAGCUACGGCAUCAGUAAUGAUGGGUAGGGGAGCUUCCCAUACGGGUUGAAGCAUGACCGUAAGGACAUGUGGACAGUAUGGGAGUGAGAAUGUUGGCAUGAGUAGCGAGAUGUGGGUGAGAAUCCCACAGGCCGUAAACCCAAGGUUUCCAGGGGAAGGUUCGUCCGCC